GAGUUGAUGCUCGAGUGGUUAAUGAGAAUGGACUGUAAAUCCAUUGGGAAACCUACGUUAGUUCAAAUCUAACUCAACUCA
rnacentral:tRNA from 1 species